rnacentral:rRNA from 1 species
UACGUAGGGGGCAAGCGUUGUCCGGAAUCAUUGGGCGUAAAGAGCGUGUAGGCGGCCAGGUAGGUCUGCUGUGAAAACUCGAGGCUCAACCUCGAGACGUCGGCGGAAACCAUCUGGCUAGAGUCCGGAAGAGGAGAGUGGAAUUCCUGGUGUAGCGGUGAAAUGCGCAGAUAUCAGGAAGAACACCCGUGGCGAAGGCGGCUCUCUGGGACGGUACUGACGCUGAUGCGCGAAAGCCAGGGGAGCGAACGGG